rnacentral:rRNA from 1 species
GACAGAGGCCCCAAGCGUUAGGCGGAAUCACUGGGCUUAAAGCGUGUGUAGGCGGACUUGUAAGUACCUUGUGAAAUCCCACGGCUCAACCGUGGAACUGCUGGGUAUACUGCGAGUCUUGAGCCACCUAGGGGCGAGCGGAACAAGUGGUGGAGCGGUGAAAUGCGUAGAUAUCACUUGGAACGCCAAUGGUGAAAACAGCUCGCUGGGGGUGUGCUGACGCUGAGACACGAAAGCCAGGGGAGCAAACGGGG